AAAAAUUUAAAUGGUAAUGUAAUCCAAAUUUGGGUCAAAGUCAACCAGGGCAAAAAGGCAAUUUUACCCUACACAUACACGUUGAGGGGGUGAAAAAAUAGAGAGAGAAAGAGAGAUGAACCGUUAGGAUUUUUUUAAGAAGAGGAAGAAGGAGGGAGAAACGCCUCAAACCCGAACUGAAGCACCCUCAAUCUUAGGUCUCCUACUAGAGCUACUCAGGGUAUCAAGAGGAGUGGUCUGAGCAUUGGAUCGUUCGUUUCCGGCAAGAAACGGGCAAGAACGCGAGGUGAGGAGUCUUGCAAGUUCUCCGAGGAAACGCGGCCAAAAAUCGCGUUGGAAAACAAAAUCGAGAAACCGUCCUACUUCAGUAAGAAACUGAAUUUUUCUCGGUUUUCGAUUUCAUUUAUUAAGCGCUGUGAGUAAAAAA